rnacentral:misc_RNA from 1 species
UUUCUCAAAGUCAGAACGCUCUACAGCCGCCCAAGGUUGCAUCAGUAAAGGAAAAGAAUGUGAAUCAGGCAUUAGAGGAAAUGGGGAGCAGGGCAGGACAAAACACACUAAUUAUGAUUUUCAUCUGAUAUGGUAAAGGAACCCUAAGGUUUUAGCUUGUUCACGAGAAUUACAAAGAUGUUUGUAAUAUGUAGUAAGCUGCGUUUCUAUUUUAGACCCAUAACUAUUUGGCCAAAGUGAACUAAUUUGUGUCCAUUUUUG